GUACACAAAAAUGCACAUAUUGUGAGCUCGAUGAGUAGGGCGGGACACGUGGUAUCCUGUCUGAAUAUGGGGGGACCAUCCUCCAAGGCUAAAUACUCCUGACUGACCGAUAGUGAACCAGUACCGUGAGGGAAAGGCGAAAAGAACCCCGGCGAGGGGAGUGAAAAAGAACCUGAAACCGUGUACGUACAAGCAGUGGGAGCCUCUUAAUGGGGUGACUGCGUACCUUUUGUAUAAUGGGUCAGCGACUUAUAUUCUGUAGCAAGGUUAACCGAAUAGGGGAGCCGAAGGGAAACCGAGUCUUAACUGGGCGUUAAGUUGCAGGGUAUAGACCCGAAACCCGGUGAUCUAGCCAUGGGCAGGUUGAAGGUUGGGUAACACUAACUGGAGGACCGAACCGACUAAUGUUGAAAAAUUAGCGGAUGACUUG
rnacentral:rRNA from 1 species